CUUUCUUCUCGUCUCGUCAUGCUUGCUUUCAGAUUGUCUAGCUGUUGCUCCCAACUGCACGCAAGGCUUCAGUAUCAGGGACAUCCAUGCAAGAGAGGAUGUGGAGGAGGGGAAGCCAGCCACAACCUGGUGCUGGGAUCAUGCAGUUUAAGGAGAGAUUGAAAAAACAUAGAAAAGUGCACUUCAAGGGUUUCAGAAAAUAAAAUAUCUUGAAGCCAGAGUGCCACUGGACUGGCUGAGACCAAACUGAAGAGCACAGACACAGUGGAAGAGAAAGAGCGAAUAGAAACCCUUCAUGUUUCUAAUAUGACUCCAUCACUUUGAGAUUGCUCUACUUACAAUAUAAACAACAGAAAAGCUGCUUUUCAUGCUCAACACCUAGAUUUGGAGACCAUUAAAAAAAAAUAGCUGGGAGCAAUAUAUCAUUAAAGUACUUCUGAAUGCUACUGGAGUUGGUCCUGAAAAUCAUUUUAACAACUCUGCUGCAAUAGAAACUCAUCUUCCAUGAAAGAAGGUGCCACUUUCCUGCUGUCAACACUGGUACACCAACAUCAGCUACAGAAGACACAAAAACGAAAGCAAAAAAUAAGGACAUGUUGAUUAGUCCACCUUGUGGAAGGCAGAUGGGGAUGCAGAGAGGAAGACUCAGGAUGGUAGUAGAUUCACAGAAGCGGCAGCAUCUUAGAACUAUUGAUAAAAUUUUUAGACAAACUUGCUACAUUAAGAAAUGCAAAUUCUUUCUUUUAUAGUCACCAGGAGCCUCACAUGCUUUUCCAGAUAAAAACAUUGGUGUCUGUUUCUGUGACCGUCCAUUGAGCACCUGAUUGAUAACCAUUUAUCUAUUUCCCUGCAUGCAUUCACAGCUUGGACUAAAUGCAGCAGUCAUCUGAGUGGAGCAAUUACUGUAAAAGGCUCCUCAAGGAAGCUCAUAAUGAAACUGCAUUUACUUAUUUAUUUAUGUGCUGGACAUUUUACUUAAAGUACCAAAAGAAAGAUGCCUUCAUUAAUAUUAAUGAGGGACACUUUCGGUUUAUUAUUUUUUGUAUAAUAUUUACUAGAUAAAAUUAGCCAACAGUUCUUGUCAUUAUAAAUUUUAAGGUAUUCUAUUAGUUCAGGGAAGGAAUUUAAUUAGAAUAUGACAUUAUUUGAUACUGCAGGGAGAAUUUACAUUCAGUAGGUAAAAUUAAAUAAUGUAGUCUUAACCUUUAAAAUGUUUUUCAAAUUAUUUAAUUAGCCAAUUAUAGCUUAUUUAAGCUGUACAUGUUAUUUACCUUGAGAUAAAAUUCCCAGUGAUGUUGGAUUCAGCUGGUAGUUCCAGGUUCCCUCAAAUGUUAUUCAAGCUUGGUAACUUUGGCAGUCUUUACUGUUGUUAAAAAGGAUUACUUAAAUAAAGCAUCCUAUAAUGCAACUAUUUUUUGUGAGUGUUCCUUUAAUCAAGCUAAAAGUUUCAUGCAUUUAUCAUGAACCUUUUUACUAUGCUACAGUAAAACAUGAUUUCUGCCUGUCAUUUUUGUCCAACCAUUCUUGAGAAAUAUCCAAGAUGCUAUAUGUAACAUCAUAGAGCAAAUAAAUAAUACUUGAGACUUACUUCAAUGAGGAAUUUAGAAUUCUGUAAAAAGAUUGCAUUAAUUCUCCUUCCUGACUAAAAGUUCCUUAACGGCAGAAAAAUGUCUACGUUUUUCCUAAAGCAUUCAACUGUAGCCCAGUUAAAGUAUCACAAGUCAGGAGGAGGGCCAGAA